rnacentral:piRNA from 1 species
UAUAUUGAGAGUGGAAAUUUCCCUGGUC